rnacentral:rRNA from 1 species
GAUGAACGCUGGCGGCGUGCUUAACACAUGCAAGUCGAACGGUGAAGGCGGAACUUUCUCUGCUGGAUCAUUGGCGAACGGGUGAGUAACACGUGAGCAAUCUGCCCCUGACUCUCUGAUAAACGCUGGAAACAGCGUCUCAUACUGGAUACAAUCUGUGAAGGCAUCUUCAGCAGCUGUAAAAAACGUCGGUAAGGGAUGGUCUGGCUGCCUAUCAGCUUGUUGGGGAGGUAACGGCUCACCAAGGCGUCGACGGGUAGCCUGCAUGAGAGCGUUACCGGCCACAAUGGGACUGCGACAGGGACCAGUAUCCUACGGGAGGCAGUAGUGGAAAACCUUGCAGAACGGGCGAACGUGUGAGGCAACAAUGCCGCGUGCGGGAAGCUGGCCUUCGGGUUGUAAACAUAUUUUAGAGGGGAAGAAGAGAAAGUGACGGUACCUGAAGAAAAAGCGACGGCUAACUACGUG